GACGAACGCUGGCGGCGUGCUUAACACAUGCAAGUCGAACGAAGAGCGAUGGAAGCUUGCUUCUAUCAAUCUUAGUGGCGAACGGGUGAGUAACGCGUAAUCAACCUGCCCUUCAGAGGGGGACAACAGUUGGAAACGACUGCUAAUACCGCAUACGAUCUGACCUCGGCAUCGAGGAUAGAUGAAAGGUGGCCUCUACAUGUAAGCUAUCACUGAAGGAGGGGAUUGCGUCUGAUUAGCUAGUUGGAGGGGUAACGGCCCACCAAGGCGAUGAUCAGUAGCCGGUCUGAGAGGAUGAACGGCCACAUUGGGACUGAGACACGGCCCAGACUCCUACGGGAGGCAGCAGUGGGGAAUCUUCCGCAAUGGACGAAAGUCUGACGGAGCAACGCCGGCGUGAGUGAUGACGGCCCUUCGGGGUUGUAAAAGCUUCUGUUAAAUCGGGACGAAAAGGCC
rnacentral:rRNA from 1 species